UGGGGAAUAUUGGGCAAUGGGCGCAAGCCUGACCCAGCAACGCCGCGUGAAGGAAGAAGGCUUUCGGGUUGUAAACUUCUUUUGUCAGGGAAGAGUAGAAGACGGUACCUGACGAAUAAGCCACGGCUAACUACGUGCCAGCAGCCGCGGUAAUACGUAGGUGGCAAGCGUUGUCCGGAUUUACUGGGUGUAAAGGGCGUGUAGCCGGGUUGACAAGUCAGAUGUGAAAUCCUGCGGCUUAACCGCAGAACUGCAUUUGAAACUGUUGAUCUUGAGUACUGGAGAGGCAGACGGAAUUCCUAG
rnacentral:rRNA from 1 species